AAGCAAGUGUCAUGCAUAUUUACGUUUUUAUUAAAGAGUUUCUAGUAGGAAUGUUUAAUAUAGGAUGUCAGUUUAAUAUGGAGGAAGCCUGAUACUGUAGAAGACGGAAAGUUUUGUGCCUGAGAUACCAGUCUUUAACUGUGGAGAUAUUGAAGUGCCCACGAUAGGACAAACCAGUGAUGACUUUCAAGACAUUUCGUCAGAACAGACUGUUCUGCGUAUACCAAGCACUACGGACAACAGUGAGAGAUGUGUGUUGGGAAGAUGGAGUGUGAGAGAAACUGUACUCAGUUACUGUGCCAGGUGCCAUAUAAUCUAAUUAAGGAAACAUGCCGCAGUCCAAGAGGCACCAAAGACAGUCACCAUAGAAACACCAAAUACAGUCACCAUAGAAACACCAAAGACAGUCACCAUAGAAACACCAAAUACAGUCACCAUAGAAACACCAAAGACAGUCACCAUAGAAACACCAAAUACAGUCACCAUAGAAACACCAAAGACAGUCACCAUAGAAACACAAACAGAGGUGCCUUACAUCCAUAUUGAAAAGCAUGGACAUGAAUUAAAUUCCAGAUUUAACAGUAGUGUGAAUGAAAGUUAUUCAAAGGAGGAUUUGGACUGGCAUCCAGAUGAAAGUUUUUCUAGUGACAUUGCAGAUAAAGAGAUAGAAGAAUAACCAUUGAAUGAAUGUACAGAGAGAAAAUUUAUUGUUUUCGAAAAACAGUUGACAAAUUGUGUGAAAAGUGUAAUUUAUGUGGGAGUAGACUUGUGAUUAGGAAGAGAACUAUCAGUGCAAAAUUCUUGUUACUAUGGCAACCAAAACAACAAGUAGCAAACCACUACGCCUUGGAGGGGAUCUCAGAUGUGAUAUACCAGGUCACACUGUAAAGUAUGGAUCAUACUGUCUGAUUGAUUUAGAAUGAAAUAUGAUUCUGGAUUGUCAGUUAUUUCAGAGUAAUGAGGUAAAGAAUUCUUACUGGAUGGAGACGCAAGGUUUGAUGCCCUGUUUACACUUUAUCAAUGUCUGAACAUUUCCCACCUUGUAACAGAUAGACAUGUCCAGUUGAAAAAGUAUAUGAAAGAGCAACAACCAAAAAUUACUUACUGGUUUGAUGUCUGGCAUGUUGCUAAAGUGUAAUUGUCCGUCCUGUUCAGACUAUUGCGUGGCAAGCCUGGUUAACUGAAGGAUUUUUCAUUUUUCAGACGAGAUACUGUAUUGACCCUAGACCAUACAGAGCUGUGAAGUGUGCUGCCUGAUGCAAUUCAGAAGAUUAAAUGUGAGAGAUAAUGAAAGACAUUGAAUGGAAAUGCUCAGAUAUGCUGGAAAAGUUAUAAAACAAGAAUACUUUGAUAGUUACCAGACUGAUAGGCAACCAAUGAAAUGUAUCACUGUUGUAAAGUACAAGAUAUGACUUGGUAGAGUUCACAGAUAAUAGUCACUGUAUCAGAUAUUACCAGAACUUACAAGUUUCGACUACCUGCGAGCAGAAACACACACAGAUGUUGUUUCGGAUAUCAGGGAAGCAUGCGAAGUUUACUUUUGUUUAACUACCUUUUGUUCAACGAUGAAGGGAUCUGAGACUUAUAAUACUGUUUACUGAUUUGGUAA
rnacentral:lncRNA from 1 species